UACGUAGGGGGCUAGCGUUGUCCGGAAUCAUUGGGCGUAAAGAGCGUGUAGGCUGCUCGGUAAGUCCGCUGUAAAAGUCAAAGGCUCAACCUUUGAAUGUCAGUGGAUACUGCCGGGCUAGAGUCCGGAAGAGGCGAGUGGAACUCCUGGUGUAGCGGUGGAAUGCGCAGAUAUCAGGAGGAACACCGGUGGCGAAGGCGGUUCUCUGGGCAUGACCUGACGCUGAGGAGCGAAAGUGUGGGGAGCGAACAGG
rnacentral:rRNA from 1 species